rnacentral:rRNA from 1 species
UGGGGAAUAUUGCCCAAUGGGCGAAAGCCUGAUGCAGCGACGCCGCGUGAGGGAUGACGGCCUUCGGGUUGUAAACCUCUUUCAGUAGGGACGAAGCGCAAGUGACGGUACCUGCAGAAGAAGCACCGGCUAACUACGUGCCAGCAGCCGCGGUAAUACGUAGGGUGCGAGCGUUGUCCGGAAUUACUGGGCGUAAAGAGCUCGUAGGCGGUUUGUCACGUCGUCUGUGAAAUCCUAGGGCUUAACCCUGGACGUGCAGGCGAUACGGGCUGACUCGAGUACUACAGGGGAGACUGGAAUUUCUGGUGUAGCGGUGGAAUGCACAGAUAUCAGGAAGAACACCGAUGGCGAAGGCAGGUCUCUGGGUAGUAACUGACGCUGAGGAGCGAAAGCAUGGGUAGCGAACAGG